rnacentral:rRNA from 1 species
UACGUAGGCAGCAAGCGUUGUUCGGAAUUACUGGGCGUAAAGAGUGUGUAGGCGGUGCCCUAAGUUUGGUGUGAAAUCUCACGGCUCAACCGGGAGGCUGCCUUCUAGACUGUUGGACUUGAGCACGGUAGAGGCAGAUGGAAUUCCCGGUGUAGCGGUGGAAUGCGUAGAGAUCGGGAAGAACACCAGUGGCGAAGGCGGUCUGCUGGGCCGUUGCUGACGCUGAGGCGCGACAGCGUGGGAGCAAACAGG